rnacentral:rRNA from 1 species
CGAGUGCGUUCAGAGUUUGAUCCUGGCUCAGGAUAAACGCUGACAGAAUGCUUAACACAUGCAAGUCGAUGAUAAGAAGUAAGCUUGCUUACAACAAGUCAUGGCGGACGGGUGAGUAACGUGUAAAGAACUUGCCCUCUAGACUGGGAUAACAGGGAGAAAUUCCUGAUAAUACCGGAUAAGUUAGUAUAUUGCAUGAUAUACAAAUGAAAGAGAGAUCACUAGAGGAGAGCUUUGCAUCCUAUUAGCUAGUUGGUAAGGUAAAGGCUUACCAAGGCGAUGAUAGGUAGCCGGCCUGAGAGGGUGGACGGCCACAAGGGGACUGAGAUACGGCCCUU